rnacentral:rRNA from 1 species
UACGGGGGGGGCAAGCGUUGUUCGGAAUUACUGGGCGUAAAGGGCUCGUAGGCGGCCAACUAAGUCAGACGUGAAAUCCCUCGGCUUAACCGGGGAACUGCGUCUGAUACUGGAUGGCUUGAAUCCGGGAGAGGGAUGCGGAAUUCCAGGUGUAGCGGUGAAAUGCGUAGAUAUCGUAAGGAGGACCAGUGGCGAAGGCGGGUCUCUGGACAGUUCCUGACGCUGAAGCACGAAGGCCAGGGGAGCAAACGGG